AUGGACACCCAGAAGCAAAUUCACAAGACUCACAAUUCAAAGAACCAAUUUUUAACAAUAUUUUUCCCUGUCAGUUGAAUUUGGGCAGGAAGGAACAUGCAAAAAUUUUUACCUUCUUCUUUCAACUGGACGCUAUGGACAGAAAUCCAGGAGAGCUGACCUAGGAACUGCAGACACUGCAGAUAAAACAGAGCCAGAAUGCUUUGCUGCCAGCUGGAACUUUGACCCAAACCCCAGUGCGACAGUCUCCAGUGCCCACUCAACUGGAAUGCAUCAAUGA